UGCCUGAAUUCUGUCAUUUUCUUCCUGGGUGAGUGAAUUUCAACUAAGUGCCUUCUCUCUGUGAAUUUCUCUUUGUUUUCCCCAGGAGCUGUAGCUGCAAGCAGCACAUCUCUGAGAACUUGGCACUUAGUGGUAUCAGCAAGGCAAAGCCCUUGGGACCAUUUGGCUCACACCUGCAGCUGUCACACUCUAUCCUCAGCUUUUAGGAAAAGGAGUUUGAAGGGCAUUUCAGCACGUAGCCCUGCCUGUGGGCCCGACACAGGUCUGGAGGGGAAGUUCUUGCCCCUAAGUCCUGGGGGCACUGGGUAGACACCUGAGGACCUCAGUAAACAAGAAGGCUGGAUGCAGAUUUUCUCCUUGACACUAUGGCCAAGUAAAGCUGAGUCACUGCUCUCCCAUGCUGAUGAUGCUCUCCUGUGAAUCUUCUCUCUCUUAAGGACCCCAGGAAUCAUGAAGGCAGGUAGGCAUAAGGACCCUGAAUAGCCUCUGUAGUUAUAAAUAGCAAUAACCACA
rnacentral:lncRNA from 1 species